rnacentral:pre_miRNA from 1 species
GAUUUCAACUGAAAAUGUCAUCAAAAACAAAGUUGUAUAACUCAUCAAUAUCUAUAACUUUUAUUUUGGUCAUUUCUUUAUCCGGUAAAGUGAUAGUAACAUUGUUCAUAAAAUUUACAUAUCUCUCUUAUAGUUCAUAACUAUAUAAGAGAUAUAUACAUUCUGUGAACAAUGUUACAAAUCGCUUUGUUGGAUGAAGAAAUGACCCAAAUAAAAGUUAUAGAUCUUGAUGAGUUAUACGACUUUGUUAUUGAUGACUUUUUUAGUUGAAAUC